rnacentral:misc_RNA from 1 species
CUGACUGGAGCGCAGUCUUCGGAAGAGAGAGUUAGUUUCAAGAAGAAACUAACAAUUUAAAACAAUGGUCCAACGAAAUAUACUUUAGAGGGCUCGAGGACCUUUGUAGAAACACAAGGCGUCCAACUCUUGCAGUUGUACUUAGUUCCCUAGCUGCUAGAAUGGAAUUCAGUCGCAAAUUCAGCCGCUUGUGUUUGUUCCACAUCCUCCCGUACUGGAGGACGAUUUUCGUUGUAUUAACGCCCAUCCUGCUUCUGCCAGUUCCUCUAAUCGGGACUCAGGAAGCUUUAACUGGAUAUGUAGUUCUCAUAAUGGCGGUUUAUUGGAUGACCGAGGCACUUCCUUUGCCUGUCACCUCAUUGUUACCCAUAAUAGCCUUCCCGCUACUAGGCAUCAUGAAUACAGGUCAGGUUUGCAUGAAUUAUUUCUCGGAGACUGUUAUGAUGUUCAUCGGGGGACUGAUGGUGGGACUCGCUGUCGAAUACUCAAAUUUGCACAAGCGGAUUGCUCUUAGAGUUUUGAUGUUAGUGGGAACCGAUCCAAAAUGGCUGAUGAUGGGCUUCAUGAGCGUGACGAUGCUUUUAUCUAUGUUCGUGUCUAACACUGGAGCUUGUGCUAUGAUUUGUCCAAUUGUCGAAGCCUUGGUUCAAGAACUAUUUCAUAAGAAUUCUAGUGACUGCGAAGAGGGUAACAAUACUCAACUUACAGCCGAAGAAAAUGAAAUCGACCGCGAAUAUACCGAAGCUGAGGUAGCCUGCAAAGCGCGACGAGUUCGUGUCACUCUUUUACUUUCGAUUGCUUAUUCAGCUAAUAUUGGGGGCACUGGGACGCUGAUAGGCUCCACCCCUCAGCUAGCCUUGAAGGGAAUCGUUGAAGAAUUAUAUGGGGAAGAUAACGACCUAUCCUUCUCUUCGUGGAUGGUCGUCCUGAUGCCGGCCGUGCUGAUAAGCACUUUUCUAACUUGGGUUUGGCUGCAAUACCUUCUCUCCGGCUUUCAAUGCCAGAAACAAAUUGAGAAUGGACAAGGGAGUCAGAGCAGCCGAGUGAAAAACCUUAUCCGGACCAAAUAUCGAGAAUUGGGAUCGACUAGCUUCAAUGAAAAAGCCAUCCUUGUCCUUUUCCCCAUUUUAGUUUUACUUUGGAUGUUUCGAGAUCCCAAGUUCAUCGCAGGAUGGGGCUCCCUAUUCUCAAAGAAAGUUGGAGAUUCUGUCCCAGUUUUACUUAUCAUUUUGAUCUUGUACAUUCUUCCUAUACGACCGGAUUUCUGGUGUUUCAGAAGGACUGGCACUGAAAACGAAAAGCCCAAAGCGAAUUCCGCCAUGCUCACGUGGGAGUUCAUGCACGAAAAAUUACCUUGGGGAUUAGUUCUUUUACUUGGAAGUGGCUUUGCUCUGUCGGAUGCCUCUAAAACAUCGGGCCUGUCGAAAUGGCUUGGACUUCAACUAUCAGCUCUAGAAGUCUUACCUCCUUUUUCCAUACUAAUUAUUUGUUGUAUGCUUACUACGUGGAUGACUGAGAUUGUGAGCAAUACAGCAACAGCCAACAUUGUUCUUCCAAUAUUGGCACAAAUGGCAGAGACUAUUCAUGUCAAUCCACUCUACUUGAUGAUUCCAGCAGCUGCUACAUGUUGUUAUACCUUUGUCCUCCCAGUUGGCACACCUGCAAACGCCAUUGUCUACAGCAGUGCCAAAAUGAAACCAUUAGACAUGGUGAAAGCUGGGAUCGUGACUAAAAUUAUGACUGUUCUGAUCCUUUGUGCUGUAAUGGAAACUAUUGGCAAAGGAAUUUUCCCUGUGCAUAUCGAGUCUCCCUUAAUGAUGAACGAUACUUCACUUCAAAGCCUUCCGACGUUUACAACGACAACCUUACCAUAAAGAUAUCAAAUAUAAUUGUUUGUUACAUGUACAACGAAUCUACCGAUUUAUACUUAGCUCAAAUGAAAAGAUGUUCAGUGUUCACCACCUUCUUAAAUAUUCGAAAUAAACGACAUUUAGGUUUGUAUUAUGGGCACCAGGUGGCUCUUAUGUACAACAACACCAUUGUCGGCAGGAAUCGACGGAUAAAUUCAAGUUGCGAUUGAACAUAAUUUUUAGUCAUGGACAAAAAAACGAGUUACUUCCAAUUAGCGAGCCAAGAGGAAAGAGAGAAAAAGAUUGACGAGCUUAAAGUGCUGGAGCAAGAGCUGGGAAGUUUGAAGAAAAAUGCGAAAGUAUACCAAAGUCAUGGGAACAGCAACCUUCUCUUCAUUGCUGAUAGAGACAAAGUUCAUUCUGAAACAAAGAUGAGCAUAACUAAACUCACAGAAACUCACAAGAAAUUACAGAAGUGAAGACAAGGAAAUCUUAAAGUAUUGUGUAAGGUGCACUGUGAAAGACACUUGAUUGCAAAUUCCAAUAAAUUGCUUGGUUGAAAUGGAA